rnacentral:rRNA from 1 species
UACAGAGGGGGCAAGCGUCGUUCGGAAUCACUGGGCUUAAAGGGCGCGUAGGCGGGCCGUCAAGUCAGAGGUGAAAUCCCCCGGCUCAACCGGGGAACUGCCUUUGAUACUGGCGGUCUGGAGUAAGGUAGGGGCAUGCGGAACUGAUGGUGGAGCGGUGAAAUGUGUUGAUAUCAUCAGGAACUCCGGUGGCGAAAGCGGCGUGCUGGACCUUUACUGACGCUGAGGCGCGAAAGCCAGGGGAGCAGAC